GACGAACGCUGGCGGCGUGCCUAAUACAUGCAAGUUGAGCGCUGAAGGUUGGUACUUGUACCAACUGGAUGAGCAGCGAACGGGUGAGUAACGCGUGGGGAAUCUGCCUUUGAGCGGGGGACAACAUUUGGAAACGAAUGCUAAUACCGCAUAAAAACUUUAAACACAAGUUUUAAGUUUGAAAGAUGCAAUUGCAUCACUCAAAGAUGAUCCCGCGUUGUAUUAGCUAGUUGGUGAGGUAAAGGCUCACGAAGGCGAUGAUACAUAGCCGACCUGAGAGGGUGAUCGGCCACACUGGGACUGAGACACGGCCCAAACUCCUACGGGAGGCAGCAGUAGGGAAUCUUGGGCAAUGGACGAAAGUCUGAGCGAGCAACGCCGCGGGAGGGAAGAGGGUUGUCGGAUCGUAAAACUCUGUUGGUAGAGAAGAACGUUGGUGAGAGUGGAAAGCUCAUCAAGUGACGGUAACUACCCAGAAAGGGACGGCUAACUACGUG
rnacentral:rRNA from 1 species